GAGAGGUGAGGUUCCGCCUGACAGGGAGGCUCUGUGAGCGCGGUGGCCUUGGGCCGGGGACCCCCGAGGUCAGCCUCUUCGGUCCUGCGUUGGGCGGCAGCGGGCGCGCGCGCGCGCUGGAAAGUGGCCGGGGACCGGGCAGGACAGGACAGGACAGGACCGGGUCGCGGGCCCCGGAUUUAAGGGCCAAGCUGCCCCGAGCGGCUCGUCCACCCCGACUCCCGGGUCUGGCUCGCCCGUAGCUGCUGAGCGCAGGCGCCCUGGGCUAGGGGUGCAACUCCCGAGAACUCUUCUUGAGCAGAGAGUGCAGUUGGUCGCUGUCGCUCUUCUUUCCCGGGAUCCUCUCCCGGGGACUGAUGUCAGAGCCCAGAAGCCAAGCGAAGGGACUGUGAGAGGUCUCCGUGAAGUCAGCCUCACUGAAGCUGUGUGGGUCGCUUAACUCUUCUGAAGAGCCUUGAUCCACUCAUUGCACCACACUGCACAGUAGGCUCCUUGUGUGGGGUUAGGGUAGCAGCAGCUUGCAGCUGUUUACUGUUCUUCAGAGUUCAACUUUUCUACCCUGUGUUUUUCCAUGGGCCGGGGAACAAGGGGCAUUGAGUAAGUGUUUUAGUCACCAAAUAGAAACAUUGUCUACAAUUCAACAGGUGACUCUGCAAGUUUUUAGCCUCACCUACUAGGGGUCCCUUCUAACUCAGAACCACCCCACACACUACUGUAUCCAAAAAUAUGCACAACAAAUAACUGUUUUAAUCCUUUCCAUAAACUUUAUUUAUUUAUUUAUUUUUCCUCUUGAGACUCAAUGAUUUCUGCCUUAUGCUUUUUAGUUUGUCCUCUGGAACCCAGAUAUGUAUGAUGCUUUUGUUGAUGAUGUGGGGGCGUGUCUUUGACCACUGUUGGCCUUUAACCUUGGUUAAAUUCAGCCCCCUAUGUCACCAGAUGGAAUCAAUUCAGUGUGUUGUAGCUGCCGUAGCAUCCC
rnacentral:lncRNA from 1 species